GACGAACGCUGGCGGCGUGCUUAACACAUGCAAGUCGAACGGAAAGGCCCUGCUUUUGUGGGGUGCUCGAGUGGCGAACGGGUGAGUAACACGUGAGUAACCUGCCCUUGACUUUGGGAUAACUUCAGGAAACUGGGGCUAAUACCGGAUAGGAGCUCCUGCUGCAUGGUGGGGGUUGGAAAGUUUCGGCGGUUGGGGAUGGACUCGCGGCUUAUCAGCUUGUUGGUGGGGUAGUGGCUUACCAAGGCUUUGACGGGUAGCCGGCCUGAGAGGGUGACCGGCCACAUUGGGACUGAGAUACGGCCCAGACUCCUACGGGAGGCAGCAGUGGGGAAUAUUGCACAAUGGGCGGAAGCCUGAUGCAGCAACGCCGCGUGCGGGAUGACGGCCUUCGGGUUGUAAACCGCUUUCGCCUGUGACGAGGCGUGAGUGACGGUAAUGGGUAAAGAAGCACCGGCUAACUACG
rnacentral:rRNA from 1 species